AAAAGAUAAGACAUUUAAGGCAAGAAAUUAAAGAAAAUGACUUAAAGAUGAAUUGAUUUGGUCCUGUCUUUCAAAAAAUCCACACAAAUUCACCUUGAAAAUACAAACAUUACAAACAUCCAUUCAAAAUAUCAUAAAACCUGGCCGUGCAGAACCAGAAAACAAUGAUAGAACCAACUAUAAAAGACAAAGUGCAUAUGACACAAGAUUAAAACUCCUGUGGUCCUGAACCAGAAUCGUCAUAACAUCAUCUGUGUGUCAGCUACUUUAUUACAAAUAGCAAAGUAUUGCCCCAAUCUUUCCUCUUAAAAAUUGUAUUAAAUCAAUUUUACACCUGCAAAAUAGUGGUCUGUUCUUUGGAAAAAAUGAGAGAAUGAAAGGGGGAAAGUUUCAGUCACUGGGGGGAGCCGCUUGUACAUUAAGUGCCUUCACAUGCUUGUUAAAGUUUAACAUUAUAUCUGUGGGAAUAAUCGAUAUUCUUUCGACAGACUCCAUCUACAGCCUGGUGAUAUGGAACAAGUCGGCAUUUUGAUCGUGCGCGCGGGGGCCUGUAAGGAGCAGGCUGUUCAGGUCUGCAACAAUUCCAGUGGCUUCACCAGAGGCAGGAGUCACUUGGCACUGGCAGGAAUCCCACUCGCCAUCAUUUAUACGGCUCCGCAGAGGACCGGACUGGAAAAGGGAAAUAAAGGUGAAUAAUAGUAUCCAGCAGCACUGAGGCUGCAAAAGUCAUUUUUUUCCCCCUCCCCAAGUUUUUACAGGUGAUUAGUGCAUCAAAAUGUGGUCUUUUUUUUAACAAUAUUCAAUUUUCAGACCCCGAGCCUUUAAAACAGCUGCAAUAGUUUGAUGCAAGAAGGAAGGUGCGGAUUUAUUCUUGUGUGUGUUUAACAGCAAGACGUGUGCUGCAGGUUUCAUCGGUGCAGUGAAAGGUUUAUGCUUUAUGGCUUAAGAAGAUACAUUUAAGAAAGCUGCUGGUUGCAUUAAAAAACCCCUGUAUUAAAAGAUGUAAAUGACAGGAAGGAAACAUUGGAUUAAAAUAAUAUUUGGAAGAAUGAUAAAACAAUGACGGGGGAAAUCCAACUGGCAGGAUCCCUGCAUGGCUACUAUU
rnacentral:lncRNA from 1 species